UUAUUUUCAUAAACACAGAUAAUGCUCAUGUAAAAGUCAAGAACGGAAUUAUUUUAGCCAUAGUUCUACCAGGAACGCUCAUCAUCUACAUUAUCAAUGCCGUAUACUUUUGGUGGAGAUUGAAGUCUCGUAAGCAUGCAGAAAAGAAUGACAUCCAGCAAAAAGUAAAGAUUUCGGGGGAUGAUAUUGAACUUGAAGAGUUGCCUCUUUAUGAUUUUGAAAUGCCGGAAAUUGCAGCAACUUUGAUCUAAGUAACAAGCUUGGGUAGAGCGGCUUUGAUUUGGUAUAUAAGGGAAAAUUAAUAAAUGAAGAGGAAAUAGCAAUAAAGAGACUUUCGAAAGUCUCUCAUCAAGGGUACAAAGAAUUUAUAAUUGAAGUAAAGGUGAUUUCAAGGUGCCCAAGACUCCAUGCUCUUUUAUUCAUUAUGGGUUGAUGUAAAUUAUUUGUAAUCAUAUUGGCGUUGGGUCAGAAUUAAUAGAUCAAGUAAAUAGAAUAUGAAUGAAAUCUAUUAUUGUA